AUGUUUCUUGAUCAGGUUUUCAGUGCAUCUAACAUUUGUCCACCUCACAGACUCACACAUACACUAAUGAGAACUGAUAAAGAGGGAGAGGACAGUGAAGACGCUCACAGGUCAUUCAGCAGUCUGUGAUAGCCAUGAGCCGAGCCGUGCCAGCGGCUGCACCUAAUCUCCUCCUGUGACCCUUACGUACUACCUGAAGCAGCAGAGGAUCAUGAGGCUGCCCAUCCUUGUCCUGGGACAGGCCCCACUGCUGUUUUAAUUGAGGUCCAACCCGGGAAGCGGGAUCAGAGACGCUGUAGCAUCCAGCCGUGAGAAAGUCAAGGUUUGAUCUCUGAUGAAUGGAGCCUCUGAUGUCUGUUUGCUUUUACUCAGCUUUGAAUAUACUCCAACAUAUACACUCGGAGAAGCUGGUUCAGUGUUAGAGCCUUUAAAACUUCUGCUAUGACAGAAUUAUGAUAACGGAAAUCAGAUAAUAUUAUAUUAGACAG